rnacentral:tRNA from 1 species
GCGAAAGUGGCGGAAUUGGUAGACGCACUGGAUUUAGGUUCCAGCGCCGAAAGGCGUGAGAGUUCGAGUCUCUCCUUUCGCACCA